rnacentral:pre_miRNA from 1 species
AGUAGAAUUGCUGGAUCAUAUGGGAACUCUAUAUUUAUCCUUUUGAGAAACUGCCAGACUGUUUCCCAAAGCAGCUGCACCAUUUUACAUUCCUACCAGCAGU